CCUACGGGAGGCAGCAGUGGGGAAUUUUGGACAAUGGGCGCAAGCCUGAUCCAGCCAUGCCGCGUGCGGGAAGAAGGCCUUCGGGUUGUAAACCGCUUUUGUCAGGGAAGAAAUCCUUUGAGCUAAUACCUCGGGGGGAUGACGGUACCUGAAGAAUAAGCACCGGCUAACUACGUGCCAGCAGCCGCGGUAAUACGUAGGGUGCAAGCGUUAAUCGGAAUUACUGGGCGUAAAGCGUGCGCAGGCGGUUAUGUAAGACAGGUGUGAAAUCCCCGGGCUUAACCUGGGAACUGCACUUGUGACUGCAUAGCUUGAGUGCGGCAGAGGGGGAUGGAAUUCCGCGUGUAGCAGUGAAAUGCGUAGAUAUGCGGAGGAACACCGAUGGCGAAGGCAAUCCCCUGGGCCUGCACUGACGCUCAUGCACGAAAGCGUGGGGAGCAAACAGGAUUAGAUACCCUGGUAGUCCACGCCCUAAACGAUGUCAACUGGUUGUUGGACGGCUUGCUGUUCAGUACGUAGCUAACGCGUGAAGUUGACCGCCUGGGGUAGUACGGCCGCGAAGGUUGAAACUCGAAUUGAUUGACGGCUUGAGACGNGCGACGGCGCGACGAGGGAGGAGG
rnacentral:rRNA from 1 species